rnacentral:rRNA from 1 species
GACGAACGCUGGCGGCGUGCUUAACACAUGCAAGUCGAACGAAGUGGCGCACGGGUGAGUAACGCGUAAUCAACCUGCUCCUCUGAGGGGUACAACAGUUGGAAACGACUGCUAAUACGGCAUACUGAAGGAGGGGAUUGCGUGUGAUUAGCUAGUUGGAGGGGUAACGGCCCACCAAGGCGAUGAUCAGUAGCCGGGCUGGGAGGAUGGAGAGGCAGAUUGGGAAUAAGACGCGGGCCAGACUGCCAAGGGGGGCAGCAGUGGGGGAACUUCCGGAAUGGACGAAAUGGUGACAGGGCAACGCCGGGUGCGUGAUGACGGCCUUCGGGUUGUAAAGCUAUGUUAAUCGGGACGCGGUACCGGAAUAGAAAGCCACGGCUAACUACGUGCCAGCAGCCGCGGUAAUAC